GACGAACGCUGGCGGCGUGCCUAACACAUGCAAGUCGAACGGAGCCUAAUUUCUCACUAAGUGUUUUGCAAUAGCGGAACAUUUAGAGAGGAAUUAGACUUAGUGGCGGACGGGUGAGUAACGCGUGAGUAACCUGCCUUUCAGAGGGGGACAACAGUUGGAAACGACUGCUAAUACCGCAUAACAUUGCGAAGUCACAUGGCUUUGCAAUCAAAGGAGCAAUCCGCUGAAAGAUGGACUCGCGUCCGAUUAGUUAGUUGGUGAGGUAAUGGCUCACCAAGACCGCGAUCGGUAGCCGGACUGAGAGGUUGAACGGCCACAUUGGGACUGAGACACGGCCCAGACUCCUACGGGAGGCAGCAGUGGGGGAUAUUGCACAAUGGAGGAAACUCUGAUGCAGCAACGCCGCGUGAGGGAAGAAGGUCUUCGGAUUGUAAACCUUUGUCUUCGGUGAAGAAACAAAUGACGGUAGCCGAGGAGGAAGCCACGGCUAACUACGUG
rnacentral:rRNA from 1 species